GAUUCCCUUCGGAAAUGAAGAUUUUGUGACUGAGUGGCGGACGGGUGAGUAACGCGUGGGUAACCUGCCUCAUACAGGGGGGAUAACAGUUGGAAACGACUGCUAAUACCGCAUAAGCGCACAGGAUCGCAUGAUCCGGUGUGAAAAACUCCGGAUUAAUGAGAUGGAACCGCGUCUGAUUAGCCAGUUGGCAGGGUAACGGCCUACCAGCGCGACGAUCAGUAGCCGACCUGAGAGGGU
rnacentral:rRNA from 1 species